GUGCCAGCAGCCGCGGUAAUACGGAGGGUGCGAGCGUUAAUCGGAAUUACUGGGCGUAAAGCGUGCGCAGGCGGUUAUGUAAGACAGAUGUGAAAUCCCCGGGCUCAACCUGGGAACUGCAUUAGUGACUGCAUAGCUGGAGUACGGCAGAGGGGGAUGGAGUUCCGCGUGUAGCAGUGAAAUGCGUAGAUAUGCGGAGGAACACCGAUGGCGAAGGCAAUCCCCUGGGCCUGUACUGACGCUCAUGCACGAAAGCGUGGGGAGCAAACAGGAUUAGAUACCCGCGUAGUCC
rnacentral:rRNA from 1 species